rnacentral:rRNA from 1 species
AGGAAAGAAACUAACAAGGAUUCCCUGAGUAACGGCGAGUGAAACGGGAAGAGCCCAGCACCGAAUCCCCCGGCCGUGUGGUUGGAGGGAACUGUGGUGUUUGGGAGUACCUCUGGGGCGGUUGGUGGGCGUUCGAGUCCUCCUGAUUGGGGCUUGACCCUGAGCGGGUGUAAGGCCUCUACAGCACCUGCCACCGUCUCUCUGGAGCUCCCUGGAGUCGGGUUGUUUGAGAUUGCAGCCCAAAGUGGGUGGUAAACUCCAUCUAAGGCUAAAUACAUGCACGAGUCCGAUAGCGAACAAGUACGGUGACGGAAAGUUGAAAAGCACUUUGAAGAGAGAGUUGGACAGUACGUGAAACCGUUUACAGGUAAACGGAUGGGACCGCAAUGUCGACGGCGGGGAUUCAGGCUACCUGGUUUGGCAGAUGGUAACCAACGAUCGCAAGACGUCAGGUGCUAUACUGCGCAGAUAUUGGUAGACGCACUUUCUCGUCGUUGAACACCACAACCGCUUGUCUGGCAGCCACAAGCUCCUGGUCAAGGUAUCCCCUUCCUUCGGGUCGGGGUGCUUAUAGGUCCGGGACCGCUGGCCUGUUGGAUGAGUGAGGAACUCGGGCCGUGCGUUUCCGACGCCUGCCUACCGAUUGUCUUGGUGUUCGACUAGCGAGGACUGCAUGCAGUGCUUGCUGACCGCACUGGCUUUUGGUGGUGACGUUCGGGGCGUAUCGAAGGGUAAGUGGUGAUGUCGGCACCCCAUCCGACCCGUCUUGAAACACGGACCAAGGAGUCUAACAUGUGCGCAAGUCAAAGGGUCUUGCGAAACCCCAUGGCGAAAUGAAAGUAAAGGAGGCUGGCCUUCGGGCUUGUUCUCUCAGGUGUGAUCCCGGUCGUUUAUGGCUGGGCGCAGCACCGCCCCGUCUCGUACCCUUUUUGUGGUUGAGGCGGAGGAAGAGCGUACACGUUGGUACCCGAAAGAUGGUGAACUAUGCCUGAGUAGGUUGAAGCCAGAGGAAACUCUGGGA